rnacentral:rRNA from 1 species
GCAAGGAAGUAAGAUCCCUGAAAGAUGAUCAGGUUGAUAGGUCUGAGGUGGAAGUGUGGCGACACAUGGAGCUGACAGAUACUAAUCGAUCGAGGACUUAACCACAUUU